rnacentral:rRNA from 1 species
CAGUAGCCGCGGGAAUACGAGGGGGGCAAGCGUUGUUCGGAAUUAUUGGGCGUAAAGGGAGCGUAGGCGGUUUUGUAAGUCGUGUGUGAAAUCUUCAGGCUCAACCUGAAGUCUGCACACGAAACUGCAGGGCUUGAGUAUGGGAGAGGUGAGUGGAAUUCCUGGUGUAGCGGUGAAAUGCGUAGAUAUCAGGAGGAACACCUGUGGCGAAAGCGGCUCACUGGACCAUUACUGACGCUGAGGCUCGAAAGCUAGGGGAGCAAACAGGAUUAGAUACCCGUGUAGUCCCUGUCUCUUAUAC